rnacentral:lncRNA from 1 species
AUUGAUAGUGCAUGCAUAUAUGGUGGGAUCUACGAUUGUGAAGGUUAUUUGGAUGGAAUGAUUAUUGUUACCUCUAAUUAAUUAAAAAAUAUUGGUUACAGGCUAUAAGUUUGACUGUCUGAGCCAACCAUAUUAAAGAGCAAACGGUUGACGACAAAAAAAAAAGUAAAAGUGCAUAGCGAGCUACAAAUCGCUCCAUUUUGAUUUGUUCCAACAAAUAAACAUAAAACCUCAAGUUCCUCGAAGGGAUACU